UACGUAGGGACCGAGCGUUGUCCGGAAUCAUUGGGCGUAAAGAGCGUGUAGGCGGCUUGUUAAGUCUUGCGUGAAAUCUCGGGGCUCAACCCCGAGCGGUCGUGAGAAACUGGCAGGCUAGGGUGCGGGAGAGGAGAGUGGAAUUCCUGGUGUAGUGGUGAUAUGCGUAGAUAUCGGGAGGAACACCUGUGGCGAAGGCGGCUUUCUGGGCCCUACCUGACGCUGAGACGCGAAGGCGUGGGGAGCGAACCGG
rnacentral:rRNA from 1 species